CACACACACACAGGCAAACUCGCACACACAUAGAAACACACACACACGCACAAAUUUUUUUUGGGGGGGGGAGUUAACCUAACAAGAAAAAGUUUUAAUACCACUGAAUCUGAAUAUAAAUCACAGCAUGUUUGCAUAACUUAAAUGCCCUAAAGUUAAAGCUUUUUGAUAAUAUUAUAAUUCUAUUAAUAAUUAAAUAUAUGUAUAUGAGCUGCUGUUUGUCAGAUGUAAUGAGCUUCUUCUGCUCUGCAAGAUCUGUUCAUGCAUUACUCUGUUUAUUACCGGUAAUAAUGUAGUAAAUAAUGUUCAGUUUCUUGCACAAGCCUAUCGUUUCGCUUCUUAAGACCUCACUAUAUUGUUAGGAGCCACAAGUAUUUAUUUAGUGUUCCUUGAUAUGCUUUUUUUGACCAUGUAAUAUCUGUGCGUCAUAGGUUAUGGAUUAUGUUCGUACCAUUUGGAACAUGGCUCAUUAAUACCUUCAUUUCUAUCCAGAAAAGGUCAAUAAAAGGAUUUUUUAUUGAGUCGAGAAUAGACGAGACAUCAAGUUAUUUUGUCCUCUCGAAGCGAAUCACAUGCACCCGGCGACCUGAAGCGUACAGUGCACUAUUAGCUGGCGUUAUCCUACUCGCUUCUGCACUAAAUAAGAGCUUUAUUUGUCUUGAAUAGUGGAUUGUUCUGAUGAUGAUGAUGAUGCAUUUUGAUUCUCAAUGAUGAGCAGCACAAUCUUUAGCAUGAAUCUUCUCAAUGCUUCAAGCCUUGAUGGCCGUGAUAGAUUAUUUCCUCGUGAUGGUUGUCUUAUGAUGGUGUUUUGUCUAGCACGAGAUUCUUAAAAAAGACAAUAAGAGUUGUAAACUAAUGCAAAGCUAAAAUGAGUGUGUGCAUGAAGACCAUGCUGCUUGUGAGCCAGUAAAUGUUCGUCACCCUGGAUGUAAUUUCAUUGCACGGAUGUUGCUCUUUCAUAGACAAAUUUGCGUUUGUUUUUGGCCUUUUGGAGAAAUAAAAACAGUCCUGCAGUAAGAAUAGAGAGCUACAGAAUCUCUGAUCAUCUGAUGAGAAACGUUUGAGUUCAAAUUGAGAGAAAUUUGAUUGCAGACUUUGGCCUCUUUGGCACAUUUUUAUAUACUAACUACAUUUAAAUGCACCCAUAUAAUCCGAUUGAUGGCUAAAUUUGACUGAAAACACCUGGUGCUACAUGAUUAGUCAUAUUUUAAAGACAAUUUCUGCUUUUGUUGCUUCACAAAGUCAUCACUGUGACAGUCUUUUAAAAAAGUACUAAUAUGUACCGUUUACGGUAGAUACUUAUAUAACUGCUUUAGGUACUAACGUUUACAUGUAGAUUAAACCAUAAUCCACACUCACAAAAAUAGCCGUCUUUUAAAAUUUUAUUUUACAUUUAUCGCCAGAAACGUUUCGGCUCUUCAGUGCAUUGAAUGGUUUCAUAUAAUAAAUCAAUAAAGAGAUUGACGCACCAAAAUAAAGUAUUAACUCCAGAAGAGUUCUAAUAUGUAACCAUGCUCCAUUUAGAAGUAAAUAAGAUAUAAAUGUGUACGUUUUAUUUCUGAGAGUAUAAGACAGACGUCUGGUAAUGUGGUCGAACUGCUGUGUAGAAGAGAGAAUGGAGAUCCCAUGUGUGAUUUAUUUCUCUUAUGUUCACUAGUAUUUCUAACUCUGUCCCAGCCAAUCAGCAGCGCAGGAUUUCUUCAGAUGUCCAAUCACAGGUCAUGUGUCUAAAUCUUUUCCAGCCACCCUUCUGUCCCCGUGUGAUGGGACCCGGUAGUUUUCGACAUGCUUUCAUGGGAAACGCUCUCUGGGAAUCCAGGACGAGCUUUCUUUGGCGCUCUCUUUGGUUUUGGGGAAUCUAUCAUCCGCGUCUGCUGCUGGUGUCGCUCCGGAGCGAAACAUCAUUGAGUCUCUGAGCGCUAAUACAAACCACAGAUGGAUUGAAGAGCUAUUCAGGCUUUAGGGGAAGAUUAUUGUGCUUGGCUGAAGAAAGCUGCGUUUAAAUGAUGGAUUUAGCACACUUUGGCAUGGUGCAGUUGUCAAAUAGCACAAUAAUUAAUUCUGUUUUUUUUUUAUCUCUAGCAUUAUUGACACAGGAAUAGGAAUACAUGCAAUUUGCAGGAAAAUCUUACCAUUUCAUAUCUGCAAUUAUUGAAAUGAAAGCAUGAAGGCAAGGGGCGAUGCUUUCAAGCUUCGGGCUAAGUUUGCAAUUUCUGUGAAGGCCGUUAAAGGUCUGAAGUAAUCGAUGGCGAACACAUCCUUUAGAGACUGGACAUGCUGUCUGUCUGUAUGGCAGUGGAAUAAAAAUGAAAAAACUAAAGGAAAAGCACCAUGUGAAGUGCAGCGGGGUCAUUAAUAAUAUUACGAGUGGAUGCUUUUGUCCCGCUGCGCUCUGUUUGCUGUUAUUAAGUGCCGUAUAUUGUGCCGGAUUCCAUUUAGUUUCAGUUUUUUUACAGCUCAGGGCGAAGCAAUUAUUAUAAAACAGAUAUAAAGCUCAGGCUUGCGGGAAACACACAAAUAAAACAACUUUAUACAGUAGCAACUUUUAUUGCAAUAGCAAACACAAUAAAGUAUAAACUGCGCUGCCGUUCUAGUCCACUGACUCUUUGUGCUUCAUUUCUUAUCUGCUUUCUUCAGCAAGACUUCAUCGACACUUGUAAAACGGCUCAGUUUUCACUGUUUGGCUCUUUUUCUCAGAGGAGUCAUAUAUUAGGUUAGAGCCACUUUCCUGAUGGCGGAAAAUGGAGCGAGGGUUUGGAUCUUAAUCCGAUGCCAUCUGGAAAAACGUUGAGGCCUCGGCCUGCUGGCACCGAGGUUGUGUCCCUUAUGUAAACGGAACAAAUUCCUUUUCACACUAAUGGCGUAUCGCAUUAAUGCCCAUGGAGGUUUGUACACAAGGUCAGGCUAAAGGGCCACUGGAGGCCAAGACUUAUCUCAUGUCCCUUAAGAAAUGAGAAUAAACAGCAUUGUGCGUCGGCAUGUUAAAUACGUUUUUGUAUCCUUCAGAAGCAACAGAAGUUCUCUUUAUUUAAUUUUAUUUAAUUUUAUUUUAUUUUAUUUUAUUUUAUUUUAUUUUAUUUUAUUUUAUUUCUUUACGCUACACAACACGACGCUACACAUACCGUAAUUCCACACAGGUCUGGAAGCCUUACAGAAAGUAAUGCUGAAACGUCAGAUGAUACCAUGAUACUUCUUUGUUAGUGAAGAGCAUCUUUUCUCCCCAUUUGGAUGGUUGUUUCUUUCUUCUUAAAGUUCUUCUAAUAGUUCCUGGUCUGCUGUGGUUCUGAUUCUCCUUUAAUCUCUGCAAUGCAAACGUUUACAGUCCCAGACUAAAGGAAGCAGAACCUUGCUCAGAUUCCCAGUGCAGUGUCGCUCCCCGCAGGGUUCUGUCUCCGUCAAGUAUUUCAAAAGCCUCUCUUCUUCAGUAGAGCGGUCUGUCUGUCAAACAAGCUCUAUGAAACCCACCGCACCAGCUGAGAGACCCCCGUGAUUCCCGACUCCAGGCCAAAAAACAAAUGCCCCACGAAGUGAGCGAAAGAAUGUGCUUCAAAGUGGCCAGUGGUGCGUUUGAGGAGAGACACCAGGCCAGCAGCUCACAGUGGAAUCUUCUUUUGAGAGGAUGAAGCAGAUCUGUUGUGUGAAUAACAAAGCAAGAUAAUUAAACCCCCUUUGUUCUCUAGCGGUCUCAAAAGAGUCUCUCUGGAGACCGUCGGCUGGAACCGGCAUGCUGGAUUUAGGUGUUUUUGUGCCGUUUCAUCCGACUGGCUUCCAGUUUCCAAAACCUCAGUUUGUCUGAUCAUACAGAUUUGCAGUUCGAGGGUAUGUGUAUAUGACAUUGAUUGCACUGAAAACAGAAAGGUUUUUCUUUGGACUUUUGUAGAGUUUUGCAUACAGUUGACAACAUUGUGACCCCAUUCACACGGAUUCGCAAAAACGACUAAAAAGCUGCAACAUUCAUGCCAGGCCACUAGUUGGCGAUGUCACUUGGUAAAGAAAUGCUACGCCCCUGCACACAUACACAUUCCUAUAUCCUAAACACAUAAUACGCAUGCAUGUGAAAUCACUGUUUCCCAAAUUUGCGUUUUUGUAGUCUACAUAGAAACGAUAACCAUAUCAUUUUCAAAAACUUGCACUUAGAAACUCAUUUUCAAAUGUUCACGUUUUCAGGUUUGUAUAAAUGAAUGACCAAAAUGCAUAAAAAAGUUUUUGUUUUUAGUUGAAAGUGCUUUUUGUUUUUGAAAGUUUUUUGUUCAGAAGUCAACGUUGUCAAAAUUAUCCCCGUUCACACAGAUCCACGAAAACGACUAAAAACACUGCAUUAUGCAUGCCAGACCACUAGUUGGCGAUGUCACUUUAUAAAGAAACACUACACAUUUGCAUUCAUAUGCAUUCUUAUAGAACGAACAUGCAAUUCCUUAUGCGCAUGGUGUUACGGUUUUAACAAAUUUGUGUUUUUGUAGUUACAUUCACUUAUGUCAAAAUUUAAAGAAAAACUUUUUGUAUUUAUAAAAAUAAGUACUGAAUAAUUUUCUUGCAUUUUGCAUGAGUUACUAACUGAGCUAAAUAAAUAUCAUAAUGCCUGUUUUAUGUUUCAAAUUGUUAAUAAUCUGAACUCUAGAUUAAGUAGCCUUGUUCCAAUCUCCAGCCCCCAGCACACUUACCAAACGAGAACCAAAUCACUCAUAUCUGGAAAAUAUCGCAGACGUGUUCGCGCCAGUAUGAGCGUUGUCUGUAGGGGGCCGCAGAUUUGGAAUGGGAUUGAUGAUGGCCUUAAGGUGUUGCCCUCUAUCUCCAACUUUAAGAGACAACUAAAAAAGCAUUUUCUAUCAACCUAUAUUUAAUAUAUAACUGUCUUUUCAUGGUCUACUGGUAUGUAUGAUUGUAUGUGUAUGUAUUUUUAUUUCUGUAUUGGUAUGCUCUCGCAUGCUUUCAGUUCAUUUACCAUCGUCUGGUUGCAGGUGGUAAAUGUGUACUUUGUCUGUACCACUUUUUUUUUCAUUAUUAUUAUUAUUUUUUUCUUUCAUAAACUAUGGGCCCCCACUUAUAAGCUUUUUUAGCUUCUUUGGGGGACCCAUUUCACUAUACCUAAUUUGUUUUUUGUUUUUUUGUACCCCCGCUGUAUCAUCAUACACUGUAAAAAAUGACUGAUGCAAAAAGUUGUACAAAUGAGGAAAUACAUGUUGGCUCAACAUAAUGGUUGUGUCAAAAAAGAAAAAUAUGUUUGGUCAAUGAUAGCAUGAUUUCCAUGAAAGUACUACAAAAUGUUCAUCAAGAGAAAAUAAAUAAUUGUGUUGAGAGAACUUUUAACGUUGCACAAAAAAUAUUAUGUUGGCCGAGCAAGAGGGAACAGCGUCAAACGUCUGAGCAUGCGCAAAGGAGUUCUACCAGGUGCAGGCAGCAGGCUGGAGUUUCCCCCACCACGAGUCACGACAUUGCACUGGUUUGCAUCUACCGUAUUGGGGUAACCGUGAAGUUAGCCAUUCCUGACAGCGCUGGACAAUCACACCCAGGGGUUGCUAAAGAUGUACAGAACCAAAGCAAGACAGGGAAGGUGAAACAACUUGGAUGAACUUCUGGAACAACUGGAUGCCCAGACCACAGAUCUAACUACUUAUAGAAGGUCUUCUGUUCUUCGUGGUCUUCCACUGUACUUGAGAGAGCCAGCUUCAAUUUCAAAGACUAUUAAGGAUACUGAGGCACUGGGGCCACACACAAAGGCCAUGAAAAUGGGGAUCCUGGAAGUGACUGACAGUUCUACCAACUCAGGACCAUAUCCCACAGUGGUCGAUGUGGCUGUAGUACUGGAGGAGGAAGCUGUCAUGGACAAUCUGGGAGACUUCACAAAUGCCCUCAUGAUGCUUGUUUUGGCACUGGUUGAAUACUUGUGUAAUAUUUUACUUGAGCCUAACAGGCAAGUUCAUAUGUAUUUAAAUAAAUACAUAAAAUCUUCUUUAUCAAAGCACAGUGUGUAAUUUAUUUGAAAUAAUGAAAAAUAGACUAUUUUGACCAAGAUUAAAUAUUUAAUACAACAAUUUAUUUCAAUUUGAGUCUGCUUGCUGGCCCAACAAGCUAUGUUUAGUCAACAGAAAAUAUUUAAUUGACACAACGUUCUAUUUCAAGUUCCGUCUACAUGCAGGGGUAGUCAGCACAACACAAAAAAGUUGGUUUCAGCAACUUAAAUUGGGCCAACUAAAAAUUUUAGGUGCAACGGGUCACUAGAAAUUUUUAUGUUGGAGAGGCAUAUUUUUUUUUACAGUGUAGAAUUUGCUGGUAUUUGUGAAUAAACUUAAACUGAACUGAAAUACAGUAAGAAUAACAGUAACAGAGACAAUUUGAGUUUUCAGGCUUGUAUAAAUAAAUGGAUUAAAACGUUAACAGUUUUGGGGGAAAGUGUUUUUUUUUCAUAUGCAGACAUCAGCAUUUUCAAAACAAUCCCUGUUCACAAGGAUCCGCAAUUGCGACAAAAAAAUGCUGCAUUAUGCAUGCCAGGCCACUAGUUGGCGAUGUCUCUUUGUAAAGUAGCACUGCGUGCAUGUGCACAUAAUGGUAUCAUUUUCAAAAGCUUGCAUUUUAAAACCUGUUUUAAAGAGUUUGCAUUCUCAGGCUCCCAAAACGCCAUCGUCAUGUAUCUGCAUAAACUGUUUUUUUUUGUUUUGUUGAAAACUAGUGGUUUCUAAUAACUUAGAACUGUUUUAUAGACUGAAGUUUGAAAGUGCAUCAUGUUAAACCGAGUUAAUGCUGCUUCUUGUAGCCUUUAUUUGUUUGAAUAACACUUUGGGCUGUCAGCAUCACCGCCAUUUAAUUAGGUGGCUGUGGAUUUUGUAGAAGGCUGUUGAUGGAUGUGGAUUUUACAAUCAUAAAUCAUACAGAGUCACUGUAGAAUAAAUUAAUGACAACUUGGCUAGACACCAGGCUUUGGCUAAAAUCUGCUCGGUUUACAAAGAAAAGCUCCGUUUUGGAAACACAUUAAUUAAUCCUUGCACAACUGAGUGACAGUUACCCAGAAGACACCGCUCACUUUCGCUUCAUAAUUGAUUCACUGGCCAUGCCAGAACUGGUUUUCAUCAAGCCAGCGGCCUGAGUCCUCAGUCACGGGCUUCUAUGCUGAAAACGACAAUGUGCGCUAAUUGUUUGAUGUUAAGUACGCGCCAUCAGUCAGGGCUAAUUAUGGCACGGUCAUAGCGGAUACUCAUGGGUCCAAUAAACUCCAACAACAUUAUUUGGGGAAAUGGGAGGGAAAAAAUCAGCCAGGCUCACAGACAGUCCCGCUGUUAUGGCAGUAAUUCAAUUAUCACCUGCCUUUGGUAAUGGUUAGUUAACACAAAUAUUACUCUUUAUAUUUGGCUGAAUGAGAUUAAUGAGUCGCGAGUCCGCAGGGUGCACACGCUGCUGACUUUUACAGGAGAAACGGUCAAAGGGAGGCACAUAUAUUUCCUACAGCCACACAUCUGCUCCUGCACACAUGCACAAUUCCAGACUGUUCUUUGGAAUGAUUACGUUUCAAAACAAUAUUACGAGAAAAGUCAUCAUGCUGCAGCUGAUCACGUGACUUAUUGUGCAUUAUUGCAAGUGUGCUGUUGUUUGCAUUCAACAGUUCAACAUACAAGUUCAUUAUGAGUAAAAUGCAUUUUAAAUAAUGUAUAUUGUCUUUUUGUCCUCUGCCAACUUACGUUACCAAACAAAGCCACAGCAGAAUUGCUGUUGUUUUUAUAUGAAUAUAUAUAUAUUAUAUAUAUAUAUAUUAUAUUGUUAUGCGUCUUCGACACAGGAACUGCAAUCGUGUCAUUGAAUGAAAUAGUUAAGUUAAUGAUUCAAUGACUUUUUUAUAAAGACACCUGUUUGUUUAGUUCGUGAAUGAAUCAGUGAUGUUGAAUGAAUCAGUUGAGUUAAUGACUCAGUGACUUGUUCAUAAAGACAGCCGUUUGUUUCGCUCAUGAACAAAUUGGUGCUGUUGAAUGGAUAUAUUGAAUAAAUGACUCACUGAUUCAUUCACAAAGACAGCCGAGUAAAUGACUCAAUGACUUGUUCACAAAGCCUUUGUUUGUUUGUCUAAAUGGAUCAGUGGUUUAAUAUUAAUUAGAUUAAUGGAUGAUUCAGUGAUGAUUCAGUGAUGUAACUUGCAAAAUGAGUCAAUAAAAAAUCUGCACCACUAAUGCACAGAGAAAACAAAUUUAUUUAUUUAUUUUUAUUUUUUGACGUGGCAAGGCAAGUUUGUUUAGACAGCACAUCUCAAAAUGAUCAUUCAAAUUGCUUUACUGAAAAAUAAAAAAUUCAAAUCAGAAAAUAAUUAUAACAUAUGCAAAAGAAAUAAAAAAUAGCAAAAUUCAUAAAUUAUUUUACUUUGAUUUACAAUCUAGAUUUGACCUUCAACAGGCUCUGGUUUUUCAGCUCUGGGUUUUUGUUUGUCUUGUUUUAAAUAUAUUUAUAUAUAUAUAUAUGAUGUAACCUGCAUAAAACUCAUUUGUUUUCAGUAAAGAAUACCUAGACAGCCAGUAAAACAAGUCCCAGCUUCAGCAGCCUUUAUUUUCUUCAGCGGAGGAUCAUAUUUAGAUCUGGAGAUCAGAGACUCAUGUAAAUGGGUGGUUGUUCUCCGUCUGCGCUCGACUGGAUGUCGCUGGAAUCAGGAAUGAGCGUUUCAGCUGAGUCUGAGGUCAAAGGUCAGGUUGUUGUGGCAGCUGCCGGUGUCUCAUUGAAUAUGCAGACGGAUGAUCUCUACAGAGGACACCAAAUAUCACCGUCUCCCCUGACAUUACGCCACGCCGCUGUUUUCAUACUUUACGCUUCUAAUUAUUCAUCGUCGAUAGUUAGCGGGUAAUGAGAGCUGUUUCUGCAGCCGAUGUGUGACCCACUGCGCUCUGAUUAGCAUGCGUCUCUAACACGGCUAAUUGUGGGUAGAAAAGCUCAUUGUUCCUGGCGCUUCCUGUACAACGAGCAUUAGCAGCAGUGUUUAGCAGCUAGGGACCCGAUACAAGCUAACUUUUUGUCUUUGCGCACCAUUAGCAAGCCCCCCCCAUGUGUAAAAUCAGCCCUAACCCUCCGAACGUGACAAGGUCAAGGCCUCGACACAGUUUUCAGUGCGUUUCAAGAUGACGUUACUUGUGUGCUUGUAAAAGGAGGGAAAGCAGCAGUGGUGUAAAGUAACAUCGGGGGAAGCCCCUUUAAAACAAAUAGAUGGAUUAGAUUUCUGUCAACACAGACUUUAUUAGCUGAACGACUCUAACUCAAGCAGUUUAGAGAAGGCCUCGUAUUAUUUGACAUAAAAUACUAUCUAAAAAGCAUCUUUCAUUGCUAUUGCUUUAU